rnacentral:rRNA from 1 species
UACGAAGGUCCCAAGCGUUGUUCGGAAUCACUGGGCGUAAAGAGUACGUAGGCGGCGCGGAAAGUCAGAUGUGAAAUCCCGGGGCUCAACCUCGGAACGGCAUCCGAUACUCCCGCGCUUGAGGACUGGAGGGGAGUCUGGAAUUCACGGUGUAGCAGUGAAAUGCGUAGAUAUCGUGAGGAACACUAGUGGCGAAGGCGAGACUCUGGACAGUUCCUGACGCUGAGGUACGAAGGCCAGGGGAGCGAAGGGGAUUAGAUACCCCCGUAGUCCUGGCAGUAAACGGUGCUCGCUUGGUAUGCGCGGUUUCGACCCCGUGCGUGCCGGAGCUAACGCGUUAAGCGAGCCGCCUGGGAAGUACGGUCGCAAGAUUAAA